GAGGGUGGAGUUCAGUGGUAGAGUGCGUGCUUAGCAUGCAUGAGGUCCUGGGUUCAAUCCCCAGCACCUCCG
rnacentral:tRNA from 1 species